rnacentral:rRNA from 1 species
UGAAGACUAACUACUGCGAAAGCAUUUGCCAAGAAUGUUUUCAUUAAUCAAGAACGAAAGUUAGAGGUUCGAAGGCGAUCAGAUACCGCCCUAGUUCUAACCAUAAACGAUGCCAGCUAGCGAUCCGAGGAUGUUUAUAUUUUAUGUCUCCUCGGGAAGCUUCCGGGAAACCAAAGCUUUUGGGUUCCGGGGGAAGUAUGGUUGCAAAACUGAAACUUAAAGGAAUUGACGGAAGGGCACCACCAGGAGUGGAGCCUGCGGCUUAAUUUGACUCAACACGGGAAAUCUCACCAGGCCCGGACACUGGAAGGAUUGUACAGAUUGAGAGCUCUUUCUCGAUUCGGUGGGUGGUGGUGCAUGGCCGUUCUUAGUUGGUGGAGUGAUUUGUCUGGUUAAU